rnacentral:rRNA from 1 species
AGGAUAAACGCUGGCGGCGUGCCUAACACAUGCAAGUCGAACGUCUCUUCUUUCGGGAAGAGGAGUGGCGGACGGGUGAGGAACACGUGGGAACCUGCCCUUCAGUGAGGAAUACCGGCGAGAAAUCGCCGACAAGACCGCAUAGCCCUCUCUGGUGAGAGCCAGAGAAGGAAAGCUUCGCAAGAGGCGCUGGAGGAGGGGCCUGCGUCCGAUUAGCUAGUUGGUGGGGUAAGAGCCUACCAAGGCGUCGAUCGGUAGCUGGUCUGAGAGGACGAUCAGCCACACUGGGAUUGAGAACGGCCCAGACUCCUACGGGGGGCAGCAGUGAGGAAUUUUCGGCAAUGGGGGAAACCCUGACGCAGCAACGCCGCGUGGAGGAUGAAGCCCCUUGGGGUGUAAACUCCUUUCGAUCGGGAAGAUAAUGACGGUACCGAUAUAAGAAGCCCGGCUAACUUCGUGCCAGCAGCCGC